GGUAUACUGUGACAGUAUCUGCAUACAAAUAAAUCCAACAAAUUCAAAAUAAUAAUAAAAAAAUUACAAAAGCAGCAAAAGAAAUCCAACACGCAUCAAGAAACUGAUAAGGCUCCACCUAGAAUGUACAUAAUCGGCCCCACUGGUCUCCCUCUCCUGAAUGGACGAGGUUGACGUCCCGUUAUAAUUCGGGUUCUUACCGUAAAGCUGCUGUAUCCCGUCGAUAUCGUCUUGCGCCAAUUCAACCUUUCUCGUUCGUGAAGGAAUGCUAGGGUACAUGAUCGCCUCUUCAACGGAGGAAUGUCCCAACCCUAACAAAUGCCCAAUUUCGUGCACGGCAACUGACUCUAGAUCCACCGCCGAUAAUAUCGGCGAGGUGCUAACAUCGCCGGAGUCCACCCAGUUCUCAUCGAGGUCCAAAUGAAGCCGCCCGCUUGGCGGGGAGAAAGCGUGGGCCAAAGUCCCCAAAACCCCAUCAAACGGCUCUCCGUCACCGUGGUCACCACUAAAAAACCCGAUCCUGAUAUCGGCGGUGGUGAAAGAAUCGGUCUGCGUGAAAGUCAUAGGUAUGACUGUUGACCAGCGGUCAAAAGCGCGUGCGAAGACGCUCUUCUCCUCUUCAGUCAAUUCGUUACCGGGGAAAAACGAGUAAGUCAGAUCUCGUUUGCUGUCUGGCCAGUGUGGAUUGCCGGGAAAGAACGUGUAGUGACCGACGGUGUGGAAGAGAGAGGUGCUGUUAAACGCCAUCCACUUGCCGGAGUUCAUGGUGGUGGUACCGUUAACUAUAUCGGCGUUGCCGCAUCUUGGCUGUACAAGCUUGUUAAGCGUUUGCUGGUCGAGCUCACCAGUGACGUUAAGAUUGAAAUUUUGUUGAUAGGUUUUGAGAGCAGACUCAAAAGCGUCGUCAAAAUCGUCGGUGAAGUUAGAGGGGGAAUUAGGAAUGUAGCCGAAGUAAUGAAAGUACUGCUUGAGCUUGGAUAAGCCAUCGAAAUUUUCGCCGGCGCGGCAGCCAGCAAAUUUCUUGAAGGAGUCCCAAGCAGGGGCUGUGGCGUUAGGGACAAAACCCGGUGGAAUUGAUGAAACGUUGGGGAAGAAUCUAGCGGAGAUUGGUGGUAACAUAAGUAAGAGUAAACCUGCAAUCGCAAAAAGUUGCAACCUCAUGUUGUUAUGCUUCCCGUUUGAAUUGACAGAGAAAUGGAGAAUACAGACAAAG
rnacentral:misc_RNA from 1 species